AAAAUGCGAGGGGGAGAGCAAAAGAGAGUAGCGAAGAAGAAGAUGGUCUCAAGGUCAGGGAUUUGCGCUCAAAGAAUGGUGGUGGAUGCACACCAUCACAUGCUUGGCCACAUCGCUUCGAUCCUAGCGAAGGA